rnacentral:rRNA from 1 species
UCUUCCGCAAUGGACGAAAGUCUGACGGAGCAACGCCGCGUGAGUGAUGAAGGUUUUCGGAUCGUAAAACUCUGUUGUUAGGGAAGAACAAGUAUCGGAGUCACUGCCGGUACCUUGACGGUACCUGACGAGAAAGCCACGGCUAACUACGUGCCAGCAGCCGCGGUAAUACGUAGGUGGCAAGCGUUGUCCGGAUUUAUUGGGCGUAAAGCGCGCGCAGGCGGUCUUUUAAGUCUGAUGUGAAAGCCCCCGGCUCAACCGGGGAAGGUCAUUGGAAACUGGGGAACUUGAGUGCAGAAGAGGAAAGUGGAAUUCCAAGUGUAGCGGCGAAAUGCGUAGAGAUUUGGAGGAACACCAGUGGCGAAGGCGACUUUCUGGUCUGUAACUGACGCUGAGGCGCGAAAGCGUGGGGAGCAAACAG